UACGGAGGGUGCAAGCGUUAAUCGGAAUUACUGGGCGUAAAGCGUGCGCAGGCGGUUUGUUAAGUCCGCUGUGAAAUCCCCGAGCUCAACUUGGGAAUUGCAGUGGAUACUGGCAAGCUGGAGUAUGGUAGAGGAAGGUGGAAUUCCCGGUGUAGCAGUGAAAUGCGUAGAGAUCGGGAGGAACACCAGUGGCGAAGGCGGUUCUCUGGGCCUUACCUGACGCUGAGGAGCGAAAGCGUGGGGAGCGAACAGG
rnacentral:rRNA from 1 species